GAUUAGCCGGUCUGAGAGGGCGAACGGCCACAUUGGAACUGAGAGACGGUCCAAACUACCUACGGAGGCAGCGAUGGGGAAUAUUGCGCAAUGGAGAAGAACUCUGACGCAGCAAUACCGCGUGAGCGAAGAAGGUCUUCGGAUCGUAAAGCUCUGUUAUCAGGGAAGAAGAAAAUGACGGUACCUGAUGAGCAAGUCCCGGCUAACUACGUGCCAGCAGCCGCGGUAAUACGUAGGGGACAAGCGUUGUCCGGAAUCACUGGCGUAAAGGGCGCGCAGGCGGUGAUUUAAGCAGGAUGUGAAAGGCUACGGCUCAACCGUAGACAUGCACCCUGAACUGGGUCACUUGAGUAUUGGAGAGGCAGGCAGAAUUCCUGGUGUAGCGGUGAAAUGCGUAGAUAUCAGGAGGAAUACCGGAG
rnacentral:rRNA from 1 species